GAAAAGUGGGAACCUCUAGGGCGCCGCCCUGUUGCUACUGGUCAAUGUGGCCAGCGCAAUUACUAUUGAAAGAGCUGAAAACAAGUACAGGUCACCUUAUGCUUUGUCGUCUAAAAACGCAUACCUGAUGGUUUUAUGAAGGUGGUGCGUUAAUAUUAAGUUCACAGAAAGCGAUCGCUAAGUCCAUGACUUAUGUAAAUAACGAUGUACGCAUUCAUGCAAUAAAGGAUGACGCGAAUUUCGGUUUCGAAUCUGUUUUUUUCGAUGCGUAGUAGUUUCGUACAGUUUAGGUUUGACAUGCGAUCGCGCGUCGACAUCGGACGCUAUGGCACACUCGUGCCUUAUGUGCCACCGAAGCCCCGAAGUGCUCUGGCAUAUACCUUCACAUACAAUGCCUACACCUAGCUACAGCAGCUCCCUCAUACAGACUCCACAAGCCAAGAGGCCGUGGAGGCAAAUGCAGGCAGCCAGCACACCCCGAACAGCCACCUUGACUGCGGGCGUGUCACCCUAGUCGCCAAGGAAACAUUUGAGGGAAAGCGACAGGCAAUGUGAACAGCCACUUCUCCAUGUAAACAAUACUCUUUCUCUCGGAUGACUCCUACGCCUCGCCACGCCAGCACACUUGUGCACAAAGAUGCUGCGGAGGCACGUGCAGCUCAGAGGCAAGAAGCAGUGGCACUGGUGUCGACAUUCACCCACUUUCUUUUUCUUACACUGAGGCAGCCAGUACACCUCGAACAGCCACCUUGACUGCGGGUGUGUCAGUAGAUUCCUGUUGUACAUAUGCUCAUAAUAAACAUCAGUAAACUUGAACUUGAUAAUAAACUUGAAGGCAAAUGGGA